UUGAACGCUGGCGGCAGGCCUAACACAUGCAAGUCGAACGGUAACAGGAAGAAGCUUGCUUCUUUGCUGACGAGUGGCGGACGGGUGAGUAAUGUCUGGGAAACUGCCUGAUGGAGGGGGAUAACUACUGGAAACGGUAGCUAAUACCGCAUAACGUCGCAAGACCAAAGAGGGGGACCUUCGGGCCUCUUGCCAUCGGAUGUGCCCAGAUGGGAUUAGCUAGUAGGUGGGGUAACGGCUCACCUAGGCGACGAUCCCUAGCUGGUCUGAGAGGAUGACCAGCCACACUGGAACUGAGACACGGUCCAGACUCCUACGGGAGGCAGCAGUGGGGAAUAUUGCACAAUGGGCGCAAGCCUGAUGCAGCCAUGCCGCGUGUAUGAAGAAGGCCUUCGGGUUGUAAAGUACUUUCAGCGGGGAGGAAGGGAGUAAAGUUAAAACCUUUGCUCAUUGACGUUACCCGCAGAAGAAGCACCGGCUAACUCCGUG
rnacentral:rRNA from 1 species